UUUUCUUGGUUUCAACUCACGAUAUAAAGCUCACAGCUAGGAGUCAGUGUGAUCAUUGCCGUUUUCAGGAAUCGCAGCAAAUUGUUCGUGUUUGAUCAUGAAUGUGUGGUAUUAAUUCGCUCUCGGCUUUCUCCUGAUAUCUGGUCUAGGCUUCGUUGAGAACGUAUUGGCGGGAAACUACGCGCAGUGCUUUAAAGGAGAACUCCCACGCUAAUGCAAGUUAAUGUUUAACUGCCAUGCCACAAAAAGUAAGGAAUUCUCGGUACGGUGUGCUAUCCGUAUGCUAUCACCGUGCGAUGAAAGCAAGGUAUUCCAUCAUGGUGUACCAUAGAAAGCAUACUUGUACCAUAUACCAUGAAGAGUAUGGUACUCAUGGUACACCAUGCAUGCAUAUGCUGUCCAUGGUAAUACCAAGAAAACCAUAUUAUUGCCAUGCUCAAAAGCAUGGAAAUCAUGGUAUUACCGUGAAUUCCACGCUUUUACCGUAAUUACGCUCUAUUUGACAGGAGGCCACUUCGGCGUUCGUCUGGUGACAACAGCAGCUCAUCGAUUACGAAAAGAAGACGGCAAGUUAGCACUCGCCGCUGCUUGUGCUGCUGGAGGACACGAAUGUUGGUUGAAUGUUAUUGAUGAUGAACUUUAGAGUCUAACUUUUUGUGCACUUUAUGUUUGAUAUUGUUUUUAAGUAUGUUUGGUUUGUGCUAUAUUACGAAUGUUUGUCUCACUGGUGGCCUCUGUCGAUUGUAAA